GUGACAUUUUGAUGAUUUAUUUUUAUUUCUGAAUAAUGUAAACAAAUUGUUCACAAAGACCAAGAAUGUGUGGUAAGUUAGUAGGGUGAGUUCUGAUUUCUUGUGGCCUUUCAAGGAAUGAGCUAGAUGCUAAUGCUAACAUGCAAACAGUCUGUGACAAAACAGUUUGUUGAAAUAAGGCACACAUUUUAGGAUGUAGUACAAGUAUAAGUUACAAGCGUACAAGUGUACAAGUCAUUUGACAUGCUAUUUUCAUUGUACUUUGAUUUUAAGAGUAAAAUCAAGUAUUGAUUGGACCAUGAAAUCUCUUUUGUUAGGCAUCUGGUGACAAGGGAGUGAAAAAUAAGAUGAUAUGGUGGUGUCAGCUGAAAAGUAAAUUUGUUUCAGAGUCAGAGCAAGUUAUGACAUUUUGAUGAUUUAUUUCUUCUUCUGAAUAAUGUGCCAAAUUGUUCACAACAAGACCGGAAACAUGAGUGAGUUCUGACUUCUUGUGGCCUUUCAAGGAAAUGAUGUGAACUGAAAUAUACACCCUGUGCCUCAAAGAUGUUGCAGCCACAAUGGAUCAAAGUUGGCAAGAGUGAAUCAGCAUGUUAUCAAUUAUACACAUAGAAAUUGAGCAGGGAAAAAAUGUAAUAUAACAUUAAAAGAGUUUCGGCUUAAGAAGGACUGCUGUGAUCUUUGAACAUCCUCAUGUAAAAUUCUGAUUUUAAUUUCCAAAAGAGCCCUUUUCCACCAGUGUGCCUGCAUGCACAACACUUACUUGUGCAUGCACAUUCACGCACACGUGCAAACAUACAGUACAUUCUGCAUGGCGCCAACAAGGAAGAAACGUCAUCAUCCUAUUAUAAAAAGCCAACUAAAGCAGUGCACCAUUCACUGGAAUCAGGAACUAUUUGACAAAGAGGGGAAGUUUGGCUAUUUUACCUCACACAGGUCAACAUUACACAGCAAAUAUCACACCCUGUGGCCUCAUAAAAUACAACCGAGCGCAUUUCAAAAGCACUUCUGACAGACUUUGAUCCCUGAAUAGAGAUAUUGCUUAAAAUGCAUUGCAGAGAAACUUGUUUUGGAAACUUAUUUAUUUGUUUAGUUAUUUAUUUAGUUAUUUUAUUUGUUUAUUUCCUGUACUGACAUAUUUCUGACUAAGACAGAAAUUUUAGGCAGGGGAUAUCAAUGGGUUUGUCCAUUUUUCCUUAAAUAGCCAAAACAUCACAUAACAGCCAUUAAGUCAUAAUUUACUAUACAGUUUCAGGGGGAGGGACUACUCUC
ensembl:lncRNA